rnacentral:rRNA from 1 species
AUACGUAGGGAGCGAGCGUUGUCCGGAUUUACUGGGUGUAAAGGGUGCGCAGGCGGGACUGCAAGUUGGAUGUGAAAUACCGGGGCUCAACCCCGGGGCUGCAUCCAAAACUGUGGUUCUUGAGUGAAGUAGAGGUUGGCGGAAUUCCGAGUGUAGCGGUGAAAUGCGUAGAUAUUCGGAGGAACACCAGUGGCGAAGGCGGCCUACUGGGCUUUAACUGACGCUGAGGCACGAAAGCACGGGGAGCAAACAGGAUUAGAUACCCUGGUAGUCCAGGCCGUAAACGAUGAUUGCUAGGUGUGGGGGGACUGACCCCUUCCGUGCCGGAGUAAACACAAUAAGCAAUCCACCUGGGGAGUACGACCGCAAGGUUGAA